rnacentral:rRNA from 1 species
UACGUAGGGUGCAAGCGUUGUCCGGAAUUAUUGGGCGUAAAGAGCUCGUAGGCGGUCUGUCGCGUCGGCUGUGAAAUCCCGAGGCUCAACCUCGGGUCUGCAGUCGAUACGGGCAAACUAGAGUAUUGCAGGGGAGACUGGAAUUCCUGGUGUAGCGGUGGAAUGCGUAGAGAUCCGGAAGAACACCGGUGGCGAAGGCGGUCUGCUGGGGUGAUGCUGACACUGAUGCGCGACAGCGUGGGGAGCAAACAGG